rnacentral:rRNA from 1 species
UAGAUACCCGGGUAGUCCACGCCGUAAACGAUGUCUACUAGCCGUUGGAAGACUUGAUCUUUUAGUGGCGCAGCUAACGCGAUAAGUAGACCGCCUGGGGAGUACGGCCGCAAGGUUAAAACUCAAAUGAAUUGACGGGGGCCCGCACAAGCGGUGGAGCAUGUGGUUUAAUUCGACGCAACGCGAAGAACCUUACCAGGUCUUGACAUCCUGAGAAUCCUUUAGAGAUAGAGGAGUGCCUUCGGGAACUCAGAGACAGGUGCUGCAUGGCCGCCGUCAGAAG